rnacentral:rRNA from 1 species
CCUACGGGGGGCAGCAGUGGGGAAUAUUGCGCAAUGGGCGAAAGCCUGACGCAGCGACGCCGCGUGAGGGAUGAAGGUCUUCGGAUCGUAAACCUCUGUCAGCAGGGAAGAACGGUCACUGUGCUAAUCAGCAGUGAAUUGACGGUACCUGCAAAGGAAGCACCGGCUAACUCCGUGCCAGCAGCCGCGGUAAUACGGAGGGUGCGAGCGUUAAUCGGAAUUACUGGGCGUAAAGCGCUCGUAGGCGGUAUGUCAAGUCAAGGGUGAAAUCCCCGGGCUCAACGUGGGAACUGCCUUUGAAACUGGCAAACUGGAGUGUGUGAGAGGAUAGUGGAAUUCCAGGUGUAGGAGUGAAAUGCGUAGAUAUCUGGAGGAACAUCAGUGGCGAAGGCGACUAUCUGGCACAUAACUGACGCUGAGGAGCGAAAGCGUGGGUAGCAAACAGGAUUAGAUACCCGAGUAGUC